rnacentral:rRNA from 1 species
UACGUAGGUGGCGAGCGUUGUCCGGAAUUACUGGGUGUAAAGGGCGUGUAGGCGGGGGUAUAAGUCAGAUGUGAAAUCCCGAAGCUCAACUUCGGGGCUGCAACUGAAACUAUAUCUCUUGAGUGUUGGAGAGGAAAGUGGAAUUCCUAGUGUAGCGGUGAAAUGCGUAGAUAUUAGGAGGAACACCAGUGGCGAAGGCGGCUUUCUGGACAAUAACUGACGCUGAGGCGCGAAAGCGUGGGGAG